AGUUAUUAUUUGGGGCCAGAGUUGCUGAGAUCUGAUUCUCUCAUUAGUGAGUCAGUGCUUAAACAUUUGUGGCAUCAUCAGGAUGCCAUUUUGUGCUGUUCUUUGAAGUCGGUGCCGGUGUUCAUCUUUGCAAACCAGGCUGGCCUUGACAUGUUAGAAACAACUUUGGUGGCUUUAAAAGACAUCACAUGGGUAUUUAGAGGAAGUGCCUUGUAUUAACUCCAUCUUGUGAAGGCAGAGAAAGCUAGAAGAUACAUUCCAAAAGAAUUCAAAUAGGUUGAAGCUUUUGGGCUGCAGAGGCUUGGAUUGAUGUUGAAAGAGUUCAUACAAUUGCAUUAGAAGCCAAGAAGAACUAGUGUCAUGAUGAUCUAUCUUUUUUUUUUCCAGUUUUAAAUCAUGUAAUUUUGCUUCAUUUUCAUCUUCAAUUGUAAUUUUGUA